rnacentral:tRNA from 1 species
GCCGGGGUGGUGGAACUGGCAGACACAAGGGACUUAAAAUCCCUCGGGUGGUGACACCCGUACCGGUUCGAUUCCGGUCCUCGGCACCA